GGGCAGUUAGCUCAGCUGGCAGAGCAACGGACUCUUAAUCCGUGGUUCCAGGGUUCGAUCCCAUGACUGCGCA
rnacentral:tRNA from 1 species